UACGUAGGGUGCGAGCGUUAAUCGGAUUUACUGGGCGUAAAGCGUGCGCAGGCGGCCCGUUAAGACAGAUGUGAAAUCCCUGGGCUCAACCUAGGAAUUGCGCUUGUGACUGGCGGGCUCGAGUACGGUAGAGGGGGGUGGAAUUCCUGGUGUAGCAGUGAAAUGCGUAGAGAUCAGGAGGAACACCGAUGGCGAAGGCAGCCCCCUGGGCGUGUACUGACGCUCAUGCACGAAAGCGUGGGGAGCAAACAGG
rnacentral:rRNA from 1 species